rnacentral:misc_RNA from 1 species
UGCUUCUGAAGAUCAACUCCUUCGAAGGAGGCUGCCACGAGUGAUAAGUGGUGAUAAUCUUGUUCGACCCUAUGAUGAGUAUAAAUCACAAGGACAGGCAAUCUUGCAACUUGCAGAAUCCGGAUCAUUUUUUGGCCAAGUUGACCUUUUCAGAGUACGUGCAAAAUUUGCCUUGACUGAUGCCUAUGAAAAUCACUUCUUGCUGCCUAAAGGAAGAAUAAUUCUUGUUACUCACCGGAGGGUCAUUCUGUUGCAACAACCUUCCAAUCUUAUUGCACAAAAGAAGUUCAAUCCGGCUAGAGAUCCAUGUGCAGUUUUAUGGGAUGUCCUCUUGGAAGACCUGGUGACAAUGGAAUUGACUCAUGGAAAGAAAGAUCUUCCAAAUGGUCCCCCUUCACGGCUUAUAAUGUAUCUGCAAAGUCGAACUAUUGAGGCAAAGGACCAAGUUCGUGUCAUAAAGUGUCAUCGUGAUUCGAAUCAAGCGUUUGAAGUUUAUUCUUCUAUCGAGCAAGCACGGAGUGUUUAUGGACCAAGUCAGUCAAAGGCAUUGGUUAAAACAAAAGUGACUAGACCAUAUUCUCCUUUUGCCGAUGUGGUCAGCAGUGAAGGAAUUUGCUCCUGGUCUCCUCAGCAGAUGCCUACUUCGACUUUUGGAAGCAGUGAGCAGUGAAGAACUAAACAAUGAUGGAAGCAAAAUGAAGGAUGUUAUGACCAACUAAUAUCAUUCCAAUAAAGCUAUCGCUUUCCAUUGCUAAAAUGGCAGAACCCUCACAAGGUACAAGUGGCAAGAAUCAGGACUAGUCACUUUUCAUCUUCAAAAUAUAGAAAUGCAUGUAUAUAUGAUAUAUCUGUGUCUCAGCCUAUCAGUAGGUGUGCUAGAAAUAUUAGGACCAUAUAAUACCCCGGAAACUUGUACAGCUCUUCUCGUCCCUUUUAAACCUAUACCUAUACUAUAAGUAGAUGGUGGCCUGAUAUCCCAUAAUUCUGGGGAAAACCCUGUAAACUAAGCUUCACCAUGCUCCAUUGCUUAGAAUGUGUAUAGCUUUUGAUUUAACUUGUAUGCCUCCAUUAAUCUGAAUAUUUCCUUAGAUAUAUAUAUAUAUACGUAGUCUAUGUACCAAGUCGAAACUGAAAUUCUCAAAAAAGGGAAGUUUUU